ACCUGGCUAGCUCAGUUGGUACAGCAUGGUACUCUUGAUCUCAGGAUUGUGGGUUUGAGUCCCAUGCUGGCUG